AUUGAACGCUGGCGGCAGGCUUAACACAUGCAAGUCGAACGAGUGGCGGACGGGUGAGUAAUGCUUGGGGAUCUGGCUUAUGGAGGGGGAUAACUACGGGAAACUGUAGCUAAUACCGCAUACCAUAGGAUGAACCCAAGUGGGAUUAGGUAGUUGGUGAGGUAAAGGCUCACCAAGCCGACGAUCUCUAGCUGGUCUGAGAGGAUGAUCAGCCACACUGGGACUGAGACACGGCCCAGACUCCUACGGGAGGCAGCAGUGGGGAAUAUUGCACAAUGGGCGCAAGCCUGAUGCAGCCAUGCCGCGUGUAUGAAGAAGGCCUUCGGGUUGUAAAGUACUUUCAGUGGGGAGGCGUUACCCGCAGAAGAAGCACCGGCUAACUCCGUGCCAGCAGCCGCGGUAAUAC
rnacentral:rRNA from 1 species